ACUUACCAACCUUUGAAACUUACAAAUUGUAUACCAUCGUCGUCAGUCUACUUUGCAAAAAAGUAUACAAAAAGAGUUUUCCUCUCAACGUCAGAUCGAGGUGCAGUUAAUAGGUUGGAGAUUGGUGAGCUACAAUAAAUUCCCAAAAUAAACAUAUAUUUGAACAGUCUAAUGAAACAUGACUUAAAACAGGAUUCAGCAGUAAUAUUUAUAAGAAAAUAAAUAUGAAGCACAGCUCUAAAAAGCGC
rnacentral:rRNA from 1 species